rnacentral:rRNA from 1 species
GUUGAACGCUAGCUGUACGCUUAACACAUGCAAGUCGAACGAACGCUAGUUUUAGAUCCUUCGGGUGAUGAGGCUAGUUGUUAGUGGCGAACGGGUGCGUAACACGUGAGAAUCUACUUUCAGGAAGAGGAUACCUUUCAGAAAUGGGAGUUAAUACUCUGUAUGCAGAGAUGUGAAAGACCUUCGGGUUGCCUGGAAAUGAGCUUGCGUCUGAUUAGUUAGUUGGAGAGGUAAUGGCUCCCCAAGGCUAUGAUCAGUAGCUGGUUUGAGAGGAUAAUCAGCCACACUGGAACUGAGACACGGUCCAGACCACUACGGUGGGCAGCAGUGAGGAAUCUUCCGCAAUGGGCGAAAGCCUGACGGAGCGAUACAGCGUGGAGGAUGAAGGCUCGUGGGUCGUAAACUCCUUUACCUAGAGAAGAAUUUUGACGGUAUCUAGGCAACAAGCAUCGGCUAACUUCGUGCCAGCAGCCGCGGUAAUACGAGGGAUGCAAGCGUUAUCCGAAAUCAUUGGGCGUAAAGCGCCUGUAGGUGGUUUUUCAAGUCCAUUGUUAAAUCGUCCAGCUCAACUGGAUACCAGCGAUGGAAACUGAAAGACUUGAGUAUGAGAGGGGUAGAGGGAAUUCUCAGUGGAGCGGUGAAAUGCGUAGAGAUUGAGAAGAACACCAACGGCGAAAGCACUCUGCUGGCUCAUUACUGACACUAAGAGGCGAAAGCCAGGGGAGCGAAAAGGAUUAGAUACCCUUGUAGUCCUGGCCGUAAAUGGUGGAAACUAGAUGUCGGAAAUCCAAAUUCGGUGUCGUAGUUAACGCGUUAAGUUUCCCGCCUGGGAAGUACGCUCGCAAGGGUGAAACUCAAAGAAAUUGACGGGGACCCGCACAAGUGGAGGAGUAUGCGGUUUAAUUCGAUGCAACACGAAGAACCUUACCAAGGCUUGACAUGGUAUGAAUUUUCCUGAAAGGGAAGAGUGCCUUCGGGAACAUACACACAGGUAGUGCAUGGCUGUCGUCAGCUCGUGCUGUGAAGUGUUCAGUUAAGUCUGGCAACGAGCGCAACCCUUGUGUUUAGUUACUUAUCUAAACAGACUGCCGAUGACAAAUCGGAGGAAGGAGAGGACGACGUCAAGUCAUCAUGCUCCUUACGCCUUGGGCUACACGCGUACUACAAUGGGUGAGACAAAGAGAUGCUAUCCCGCGAGGGCUUGCCAACCUCAUAAACUCAUUCUCAGUUCGGAUUGUAGGCUGCAACUCGCCUACAUGAAGGUGGAUUCACUAGUAAUCGCUUGUCAGCUAAAAAGCGGUGAAUACGUUCCCGGGUCU